rnacentral:rRNA from 1 species
UACGGAGGGUGCGAGCGUUAAUCGGAAUUACUGGGCGUAAAGCGCGCGUAGGUGGUCAGGCAAGUCGGGUGUGAAAGCCCUGGGCUCAACCUGGGAAUUGCAUUCGAAACUAUCUGACUAGAGUAUGGGAGAGGGAAGCGGAAUUUCCGGUGUAGCGGUGAAAUGCGUAGAUAUCGGAAGGAACACCAGUGGCGAAGGCGGCUUCCUGGACUAAUACUAACACUGAGGUGCGAAAGCGUGGGGAGCAAACAGG